AUUGAACGCUGGCGGCAGGCCUAACACAUGCAAGUCGAACGGAGCGGCGGAGGGGGACGUAAUGCCUAGGUAUCUGCCUGGUCGUGGGGGAUCACGUCCGGAACCGGGCGCUAUUACCGCAUACUCUCGGAUGAGCCUAGGUCGGAUUAGCUAGUUGGUGGGGUAAAGGCCUACCAAGGCGACGAUCCGUAACUGGUCUGAGAGGAUGAUCAGUCACACUGGAACUGAGACACGGUCCAGACUCCUACGGGAGGCAGCAGUGGGGAAUAUUGGACAAUGGGCGAAAGCCUGAUCCAGCCAUGCCGCGUGUGUGAAGAAGGUCUUCGGAUUGUAAAGCACUUUAAGCUGGGAGGCGUUACCAACAGAAUAAGCACCGGCUAACUCCGUGCCAGCAGCCGCGGUAAUUC
rnacentral:rRNA from 1 species